rnacentral:lncRNA from 1 species
GGUGCUAAUAGAGUACCCAUCUACUGGAAAGAAAAGAUUGCAUGCAAUGGAAAAGUGGAAGUAGGAUCCCCAACGGAAUCCAAGCGGUCAGCGGUCCACAGCCGGUGAGCCCCUUCCCUUUCCCCAAAAACUCAGCUUUCCACACGCUCACCCAUUUGCUGCCCCACUUCUCCACCGGUUCGGAAGGACCCCACGUAAACCAUGCGUCGGCCAACAUGUAUGGGACCCACGACCGUUGGGGUGUUUAUAUGGGUGCGUUGGAACAUUACGACCAAAAUUUAACUUUUUU